GGGGAUGCGUGGUUUCGACAGGGCAGGCAGACGGACCACCGCGAGCCGAGGAACGCCGUUCCUCCUCGUAAAUCCGAACGGCAGGCAGACAACUGCCAACAACUCUUACGCUCUCGCUGCCUAGUCAGUGAGACGCCCUCCCGGUCUCCGCUCCGCGGGCCGGGGAUGGGCGCUAUAAGCGGAGCUGCGGCCCGCCGAUCGGUCGGUAGGCGGGAGUAAGUGAACCGACCUGGCGAGAACGGGGAGCGUGUCGGUGCGCGCCUCGUUCCGCGAGAUCAAAAUCGCCGACUACGCUCGUAGACGCGAUCCGCGCGCAGGCCUUGGACGGGGAGUUCGACCCUCCCCCAUCUCCACAG
rnacentral:tmRNA from 1 species